rnacentral:rRNA from 1 species
UAGGGAAUCUUCCGCAAUGGACGAAAGUCUGACGGAGCAACGCCGCGUGAGUGAAGAAGGAUUUCGGUUCGUAAAACUCUGUUGUUAGGGAAGAAAAAAUGUAUAGUAACUAUAUACAAAAGAGACGGUACCUAACCAGAAAGCCACGGCUAACUACGUGCCAGCAGCCGCGGUAAUACGUAGGUGGCAAGCGUUGUCCGGAAUUAUUGGGCGUAAAGCGCGCGCAGGUGGUUUAGAAAGUCUGAUGUGAAAGCCCACGGCUCAACCGUGGAGGGUCAUUGUAAACUAAUAUACUGGAGUGCACGAGAGACAAGUGGAAUUCCUAGUGUAGCGGUGAAAUGCGUAGAGAUUAGGAGGAACACCGGUGGCGAAAGCGGCUUUUUGGCCUGCAACUGACACUGAGGCGCGAAAGCGUGGGGAGCAAACAGG